UGUAACAGCAUCUCCAUUUGGAAGAACUCUGGCCUCCAGUGGAGAUGCUGUUAUCUG
rnacentral:pre_miRNA from 1 species